rnacentral:rRNA from 1 species
UACGUAGGGUGCGAGCGUUAAUCGGAAUUACUGGGCGUAAAGCGCGCGUAGGCGGCUUUGUAAGUUAGAGGUGAAAGCCCGGGGCUCAACCCCGGAACUGCCUUUAAGACUGCAUCGCUUGAAUCCAGGAGAGGUGAGUGGAAUUCCGAGUGUAGAGGUGAAAUUCGUAGAUAUUCGGAAGAACACCAGUGGCGAAGGCGGCUCACUGGACUGGUAUUGACGCUCAUGUGCGAAAGCGUGGGGAGCAAACAGG